rnacentral:misc_RNA from 1 species
AUUUGGCCCUGAAUUGGGUCGGUUUUGGGCUUCUGGGACCUGAAAUAAUCGGGUGUCGGGUGGCAUUUGUCAUUCUGCAUUCGGGCUUUAUACCUGUGGUGGCUUGAGGGCUGGUUUCGGCUGGUCAUUGGGUCGUCAUAUGGCUAUAUAGCUUUUCAUAUGUUAAGCCGACUGGCUUGUUCUGCUCGCGGGGUGGGUCAUUCGUGGCUCAUCUUUGCUGUGCUUAUACGAUAAACGUUGUAGAAAUGGUCGCGAGACUGUACCCCACUGCGCCAAUAUUGCUGCUCCGCACGGGAAGAGGUUAGACCGUGUGGUUGCACAAUCCAUAACAAGAGGUGUCAGACUAUAACAGUUCGCACGGUAUGGGUACUACCGUGUGGACAAAGGUUUCCAAAUGUUUCGCUUCCACAUUUUGUGGUUGCGCGCGCGCUCAGCCUUUCGGGGUUGGGUUGCUUGAAAGAGUGAAUA